UGACCAUUAGAAAAGUCUUCUUAUCUAUUAUCAAUUAUGUACCACAGCACAUGAGACAUGUUUAAAUGUCCAAGCUACAUGUAACUGUCAAGUGUAGAAGUAAGUGCUUCUCGCAAAAGUCCAUUUAUUUGAUAUUUUCAUGAUUAUUUCUAAAUACAAGAUUGUUGAAUGUAAUUUUCAUGUUUUCAGCCCUUCUUUUACUUAACCUAAGUAUCUCUCCUUUUUGCUCGUAGUGGAGCAUGGUCAAUUAAAUUCAAGGCUUCUUUUUACAGCUCUCUUCUUGGCCAUGGUCUCUUCUUCUUCCUAAGUCAGGUGAAGGUUUCACAAUUCACCAUUCACUGUCUUAAUCCAGGUGUUCCCUUUUUUGAGGACUUUUUAAAUUUUGUUACUUAAUCGGGUUAAAAAAAGCGACAAUCCAUGUUCUUGUGUGUAUAACUUCAAAGAUGUGUUUUUCGAUACGUCCUUCUCCCUGUCAGACUUCCAAAAUCGCACGACCCUAGCUUCACGUUCUGAUAACUGUAUUAGCUGAAUAUGCCUUAAAUCUGCAUCGGAAAUAUGAAACGGGGCAGAACUAUUUCAUUGUAUUUGUAAUCAAUGGCAGAGUAGUAAAAUGUUUGGCAUGGUCCUAAAACCGCAUCUAAGGAGAAUACAACGCAAUUAAUACAAGAGAAAGAAUGAAAACCUCUAGAUAAACUUUCUUAGAUGUGCGGUUUAAAAUUUUAUGCAUACAAGUUGUUUCAUAAUUUAGGGACAUAUUUUUAACAGGGCACUGAGACAAUAAUGAUUAUGUAUGAUCGAGAUGGUCAAGAAAUGUUUGAAAAUAAAUGCCAUGGGAU